rnacentral:rRNA from 1 species
CCCUGAUGCCGUCGAGCCAAGAAAAGUUUCUAAGUUUAGCUAAUGUUGCCCGUACCGUAAACCGACACAGGUGGGUGGGAUGAGUAUUCUAAGGCGCGUGGAAGAACUCUCUUUAAGGAACUCUGCAAAAUAGCACCGUAUCUUCGGUAUAAGGUGUGGUUAGCUUUGUAUUAGGAUUUACUCCGAAAGCAAGGAAACUUACAACAAAGAGUCCCUCCCGACUGUUUACCAAAAACACAGCACUCUGCUAACUCGUAAGAGGAUGUAUAGGGUGUGACGCCUGCCCGGUGCUCGAAGGUUAAUUGAUGGGGUUAGCAUUAGCGAAGCUCUUGAUCGAAGCCCGAGUAAACGGCGGCCGUAACUAUAACGGUCCUAAGGUAGCGAAAUUCCUUGUCGGUUAAAUACCGACCUGCAUGAAUGGCGUAACGAGAUGGGAGCUGUCUCAAAGAGGGAUCCAGUGAAAUUGUAGUGGAGGUGAAAAUUCCUCCUACCCGCGGCAAGACGGAAAGACCCCGUGGACCUUUACUACAGCUUGACACUGCUACUUGGAUAAGAAUGUGCAGGAUAGGUGGGAGGCUUUGAGUAUAUGACGCCAGUUGUAUAUGAGCCAUUGUUGAGAUACCACUCUUUCUUAUUUGGGUAGCUAACCAGCUUGAGUUAUCCUCAAGUGGGACAAUGUCUGGUGGGUAGUUUGACUGGGGCGGUCGCCUCCCAAAUAAUAACGGAGGCUUACAAAGGUUGGCUCAGAACGGUUGGAAAUCGUUCGUAGAGUAUAAAGGUAUAAGCCAGCUUAACUGCAAGACAUACAAGUCAAGCAGAGACGAAAGUCGGUCUUAGUGAUCCGGUGGUUCUGUGUGGAAGGGCCAUCGCUCAAAGGAUAAAAGGUACCCCGGGGAUAACAGGCUGAUCUCCCCCAAGAGCUCACAUCGACGGGGAGGUUUGGCACCUCGAUGUCGGCUCAUCGCAUCCUGGGGCUGGAGCAGGUCCCAAGGGUAUGGCUGUUCGCCAUUUAAAGCGGUACGCGAGCUGGGUUCAGAACGUCGUGAGACAGUUCGGUCCCUAUCUGCCGUGGGCGUAAGAAGAUUGAAGAGAUUUGACCCUAGUACGAGAGGACCGGGUUGAACAAACCACUGGUGUAGCUGUUGUUCUGCCAAGAGCAUCGCAGCGUAGCUAAGUUUGGAAAGGAUAAACGCUGAAAGCAUCUAAGCGUGAAGCCAACUCUAAGAUGAAUCUUCUCUAAGCUCUCUAGAAGACUACUAGUUUGAUAGGCUGGGUGUGUAAUGGAUGAAAGUCCUUUAGCUGACCAGUACUAAUAGAGCGUUUGGCUUAUCUUUAAUAAAGCAU